rnacentral:misc_RNA from 1 species
GUCAUACGCAUAUAGAGACCCCUUUGUUGUUAUUGGUUUUUCCUCGCAAGAAAAUCAUAGCACAAAGUGGUCUUUUUUACUACCCUAA